rnacentral:tRNA from 1 species
GUAGUCGUGGCCGAGUGGUUAAGGCGAUGGACCAGAAAUCCAGUGGGCUAUGCCCGCACAGGUUCGAAUCCUGCCGACUACG